UACGUAGGUGGCAAGCGUUGUCCGGAUUUACUGGGCGUAAAGGGCGCGUAGGCGGAUAUUUAAGUCAGAUGUGAAAUACCCGAGCUUAACUUGGGUGCUGCAUUUGAAACUGGAUAUCUGGAGUGCAGGAGAGGAAAGUGGAAUUCCUAGUGUAGCGGUGAAAUGCGUAGAGAUUAGGAAGAACACCAGUGGCGAAGGCGACUUUCUGGACUGUAACUGACGCUGAGGCUCGAAAGCGUGGGGAGCAAACAGG
rnacentral:rRNA from 1 species